GGCCGUUUAGCUCAGUUGGUUAGAGCACGGUGUUGAUAACACCGAGGUCAAGGGUUUGGAUCCCCUUAUCGGCCA